AGAUGCAAUGAAUCUAUCAUCAAGAUUUCUUCAGCUGGAACACGACUGCAUAGGAACGCAGAGCCCCUUCACUGUGAGACAAUAAAUGAUGCCAUUUCUUGUGGUCCAAAUUCAAAAGAAAAUUUUGCAAUAUGUCAGUCACUUUCACAUUCCAGAUCUCCAAAGCACGGGAAGAAUACUUGCACCUAGCAAGCCUAUGUGGUUAACAGCAAAGCCAGGAGCCGCAGUACAAUAUGUGAAGUUUAUUGUUUACAUUACUUUUUUCUCAGGCAGAGAACUUUGAUGUCAAAAGACAGGUGCUAUGAUUAUAAUGGGUAUUGAUGCUGACUUCAUAGGAGAAGAGUCUGCCUUGACUAAAUUUCGGAAUCAAGGAUUCCUAAUAGCCAAAUUAGGUUCCUUUUCCUUUCCCAAAAGAAAGCAACAUUGCCAAAUAAAAUGUCUUUUCUUGAUUUGUAUUUAAAGUAUGUCGAAAACCUCUCAUUCUUUCUCUCCCUUUUUAUCUUUCUUGUACAUGAGUGCACACAUGUGCGUGUGCACAGAGAGAGAAGAAAGUGUGGAAGAAAAAAAUAUCCUUUUAGAAGCAGUCUGUCACCUUCUGUAUGGACUUAAUUUUAUGUCAUGCCAGAUUCUGCGUGCCCAUAUAUCUACAGUACUCUUUUUCAUUCUUUUGCCAACUGUUCAGCACACAUGUGUUCUGUCAGAAAUGGCACCUGGAUGACAGAAGCUCUAACAUUCGCAUAUGCCUCUGAAACACAGUUCUGUGCCUCCUGUGCUGUCUGAACUAGUGUAAAUAGAAAGUUCAGUCACUGUUGAUUUUAAUUAGUGUAUUGCUCUAUUAUUAAUCUAAGGUUGAAAUUGUAUUUUAAUUAUGCUCUUCCUGCUGGUUAUGGUAUCAACUUGCUCUACCUGUUAGGGGGAUGUUGUAAAAAUUUGCUUUCCAUUUAUAUAAUCAUUUUUAUCAUCAUACUAAUGUGAGAAGUUGUAACUUCUGAGAAACCUUUUUCUGUGCAUAUUUCUAAUGUUUGGAAGAAUGUUAGCUCAAUGACAUCCUUUAGUUCUUGCAAAGUACCUUUCAGAACAUGCAGUGUAGAUAACAUUUCUGAUCCCUUUGAUAAAGAACCACAAGCAACUUGAAGAAGUAGGUAUGUUAAAGCAGCUGCAGAGAGCUGUAAAAUUCAGGCUUUAACCUGUUUUGCUUUGGCUUUGGCAUAUUUCUAGACCUGUGAUUGUAAAGGUUCUGUUUUGUUUGUUUUAAAAACAUGGUCAGCCUUUCUCUUGUUCUAAUUUCUCAUAUUUUGAUAUCAAGAGGAGCGUUGAGCUGUUAGUGCUGAGUGUGACAAGAGACUUGUCCAGAUUUUUUUCCAGAAAAGUUAUCAAAAUCCUGAAAUUCUAUUAGCAAACUAGCCUUGAGGUGUCUUUGAUGUCAGUUUCAGGUUAGAUUGAAGCUGAAGGUUAGAUUUAGUUGCAACAAAGACAUUUACUGAAUUCUUCCAGAAAUGCAUGACUUAGAUUUCAUAUAGUGAUUUUGGACACAAAGGGAUACCAAAUCAUAGCAAAGAUUAUAUUGUAAAAAGAUAUUUAUUUAAAAUUGACAUAGUUGCAUUAUCACCACUUAAGGAACUUAGAUCAAUGAAGUUAGUUUUUAAACCAUAUAGUAAUUAUGACCAUAUACAUUAUGAGUCUCUAAGGAUAUACUUCUUAUCUGUCAUAAUCCUCAUUCAUCUUAUGUAAUGAAAAACAACUCCUCUAGAAAUGUCAAGUACGACAGCCUUCCAAGAAGAAGAUGAAAGAGAUAUAUAUAGACAUAUAUGUGCAUAUAUUUCUCAUUUUUUUAAUUAUGACUAUUACAGGCACAAAAUCCUAACAUUUAUACAUUUGUAUGGCUUAUAGUCCUCUAAUACUCAUAUACGCGACCAAAUGCUUAGCAACAUAUUGCAUUUAUGGUGAAGCAUUUCCUGACACGUGGCCUGCCUUUCAGUGGAGGGAAAAGCAUAUCACAAGCUGUCUUUCUGGAUGUGACAUGCCUUUCAUUUCACCAGUGCCACACCACAUGUCACAGAAGCUACAGACCUCUCCUUUUACUUUGCAUGAGCAAUUUCCUUUUUCCGUAAAAUGCUGGAAGGAUUGCUUUGUUAAUGUGUGCAUGCUGUACUGUGGGUGAUGUGUGGUAUGGGAAGGAUGUGCUGUUACCCCCUUCAUGCAAGUUCUCUGAUAACUGGCAUUCUGAUUCUGUUUCAAUAAAAAGUGGGCUAUUCUUAAUGUCAAAAAAGAACAUGAAGUUACUAGAACAAGAACAUAUCAUUUUCCACGUAUUAUGACUCACAGGCAAAAUCCAAACCAGGUAUGUGAGUGAAUGAAGUGUCUUCACUGGUUUGUGCCUCAUCAGUGCAUGUUGCCCUCAAGUGCUACAGUUUGCAAUUUCCUAUUAGUUUCAUUUAAGUUAUGUUUUUUCAUUUAUAUGAAAGAUAUUCUCAUGUAGCCAGAAACCUUCCUUUUGCUUAGCAAGAGUGGAUAGACUUCUGCUUAGUGUACACAGUAAUACAUGGUAAAUAUUGCAGCGAGUACACCCUUUCUCUUAUCGGUAUACUAUUUUUAAUGGGAUUGUGUCAAUAGUUUUGUAAAGAUAAACAAACCCUUCCACAUUUCAUCAAACUGCGUCCUUAUUUUUCUAAAAGGCAUAAGCACAACAAUGUUUUCAGUGAGGUUGGAUCCUGAGCUUACUCACAUUUAUCUUACUACGAUCCCACUGAGUUCGGUGAAAUUACUCCUGAUUUACUCUCAGGGGAAAUCAGAAUCCAGUGUGCAGUUAUUUCUACUUUCUGGAGCACUGCAAUGUCCACCCCUGCUAUUUGAAAGUUGAGACUGAUUUUAAUCUUGCAAACACGUUGCUUGUUUUGCCCUUAUUUAUAUCUGAGAUUGAAAUAUGCCUCUUGGCUUUUAGAACAUUUUUCUUUAUGUGAGUUCCUCAGUAUCUAUUUUAAUAAUAAAUGGAUUUCUACUAUUUUUGUGCUCUUAUUAAUGUGGGGUGUGUCACAUCAUUGAAUUAUAUGUUCAUUUGAAAGAACAUUAAAACAAUUAUGAUAGGAUGAUAUUCAAGUUUUAGCAGUGAUACUUACCAUUUUUAGAAUAUUUGGACUAGUCUAGGCAAUUCUAAGCCCUAAGCUCAUAUUAAAACUGAGUGUAGUCUAUGAAUACUUUAAAAACAAUAAAGAAACUUCCCUGGGACUCCUAUCCAAUACCAAUACAGCAGUUCUUUUUUGAAGAGAAAAUUGUUCCCUGUAGCUGCUAUCAACAUCAGAAGGAUUGACUUUCAAGGAAAGAUUGCUGAUCAAAUCAUUUACACAGCAGCCCUGCCUUAACUCGGUAGCUUUUUUCAAGGACAUUCACCUCUGGAGACAGAGUAGACUUCAGUACUGUUGCUGUCCUCUGCUUGUGGAGUAAAGUGAAUUCCUCUCUAGCAGAGAUUGCCUAGGAGGUGCCUGUACUGGACCCUCUCUCACUACGGGCAGGAGCGGAUGCCUCCGAUUCCUCCAGGAGCGUGGGAGCUUCUUCAGUUCUCCACCAGUCCCCCCUGGAAAGGAAGGAACAAUAGCCAUCCCACAGGGAUUUUGCUAGCUAAAUCUUUCCUCAGUAGUUUUUCUUUUCCCUUUAGUAAUACAGAAGCAGACCCAGCAUACAGACCAUCUCAGGACAGAAGCCUCAGUGCAGUACUUUUACUAGUGCUGCUGGUGAGCAUUGCCAAGGGAAGGCUUUAACUCUGUUUCCUAUAGCCCGUAAAUAUAUUUUAUUGGAAGUUUAGGAGACAUGUUAAACGUUUCCCUGAUGGGCCCUAGAUAUAUAUUUAAACUUUGUGGAGGAAUGCUUUAUUCAAAAUUCACUGUUGCAUAUCAUUUAGGCAUCAUGUGAUUCAGGAUAUGUCACAGCUCCUUCCAUUCAUCUGACCAACCGUAGCAGUGGCAACACAGACACUGCAAGGUUAUGCAGCACCAUGUAACUGAGAAAAUAUGCAACAUGAGUGAAAUUCUCUGUUUGCUUAGGUUUUUAGGUUUUUAGUGUAAUCCAGAAUACUUGACCUAACAAGUUAUGUUUGAAAACAAACAGCUUUUAAACAACCCUAUUCAAUGAGGGCAGAGUGGAAGCCCUACGAAAAGGCCAGUCCCAGUUCCAUGAAAAUUUCUUCCGUGGAAGCGGCUUAUUUGCUGACGCGGGGCCAAGUUUUGAAUGCUGCCCUUUCCAGGAGGAAAAUGUUGCUAGUAGCUCCUGGUAGAGUAAUGAUUCAUUUUGCUCUGAUAUAGCAUUAUGCCUAUAAGGCACAAGUGAGCCUUUGUUGAUGAAGGUCAAAUGCAUUCAGGACAAUUCUCAGUAAAGGAUUGUACUUGAAAUGCAGACUAUGCAAUUUAGACUGCCAACAAACGGGAUACUACAGAUCUUGAUCACAUUUCAAGUUUUACUUACAGUAGCAUAAUAAUUAGUGGUGCUUAUGACUCAGAAAAUAACAAUAUGGCACAUCAAUAAGACAGCAGAAAUUGAUGUUGGAACUGCUUCUUAAAAGAUUUUGUAGUUGAUUAUGCCUGCACUUUGGGAAAUGAAGCCAUGAGAUGAGUAAACUGGCAAAGAUCAUCUGUGAUCUUUUGCUUACAAUAUUUUUCCCUGAAAGAGCUGACAGAUUUUUUGCCGCAAUUUUCCCCAUCAUCUUCUUAGUUUUCCACAACAUAUUCUUCUGUAGAUGUAUUUCUACCCAUUUUCAAGAGUAGUUUAUCAAUGCAUUUAAUUGACAGAAUCGUAUACUCUUCCUCUUUUUUCCCUCCUUAAUCAUAACAAAAUUGGUGGGGAGACAGCCAAAAUGUUAGGUACCAGUGUCUCUCAAGCAGAUGUCACACCACUAUUUUUUAGCUUGUUUAAAUGAAUAAACAUGUUAAACUGUGAAGUAUUACAUUUUAGAUUUUUUUCAUUAGAAAAAAUGGGACAAUCUGUUUACUGUCCUUAAUUGAGACAACAAUCCUGGUGGUUGCCAGUUUUGGCAGUUGUAACGAUGAACUAUAAAUAUUGGGACAAAUCAACUAACUGGUGAUCGUGAAGGAUAGUUCAAGUAGGAGUCUCAUUUUGCAUGAAUACUUUUUUCAGUGCUAUAUUUUUUCUAACUUCUAUAAUUGUUAUACUGGUUUUGCAUGUUAAAGCCACAAAUAAAUACAUGACUAGUCAAAAAAUUGGCUUGAUUCUGUUGUAUUCUGUUGUCUUAAAAGCAGAUAAAAGCUGACAACCGUGUGCCACAGACCUGCAGCACAGUUCAUGUCUUACCUAAAUUCUCCCAAAAAGAUGUUUGUUCAGGCCCACUACAGAUGUGGGCGUUAUGAGAAAUGAAGAGCAUCGCAUUGCUGAAAAAGUCCCUCUGGAAAAGAGACUGGAAGAAAACAGAACUAAAACGGGAAAUUCUUUCAGGAGACAGCCACCUCACAACUCACCGUGUUACUCAAGAAGAAGAGCUGCCUCAAGUUCUCAUUUUUCACAGGGCAAAAAAGGGCUGGGGGAGACAAAGAAGUCCGGUAGGAAGUGGCUUCUCAAUGGAUCAGUGGCUCAUUAAUUAAGGCUCCACUUGUGCUGUCUACUGGCUUUGUACGGGCAUGCAGCAGCUGAAUCCUUAUGGUCUGUCCAGUCUGUGUUCUCCAGAAAGGAAUAUUCACAUCUGAAAAGAGAUUGAAGCUUGAAGCAUUUCAGAACAGCUGCUGAAAAUUUCUGAAAACGAUAAAUAGUGGACGGUGUAUGAAGAGUGAUUUGAAAUGCAAAAUUUAACAUGACAAAACUGUACUGGUUCUUAUGGUAAUUCUUUCAGCUGAAUAUAAAGCUUACUGUUUAGCAGAAGAUGUUAAAUUAUACGCUUUAGUAAUGAAAGAGUUAUGGCUUCUAUAGCAGCAGUACUUUACUCGUACAUAUUAUUCUAUACUGUUAAAGCUUUAUUUUAAAGUUUCCGAAUGUCCGACGUAAGAAAACUAAACUGUGAUUGAAAUAUUAGAUUUUUUAAUUGUUAUAUUUUGGGGACCUCAAAGUUAUCUUUUCUGUUCCUAUCUGUUUAUUAUUUUGAAGUUAUUUCUUUUCAUAGUUUAUUUUAGCAUCUACUAAUUGAGAGACCAAUAACUACAUUUGCAAAGUAACUCUGUAUAUAAUACAUAGUUUUCCGGAAUUUUCUCCCUUUGCUUCGAAACACGUCAUGAUUAGAUUCUGCCUAAAGGAGAAUAAUUAUUCCGAAAAUUAGAAAAAAUAAAAUAAUUUUUUUCUUUUUGUUUUCUUAUGCUCUGAGACAUUGGAAAGUGAAAAAGUGCACCAUAUGUUAAAGAUGUAAAAUUUUAACCUCCACCAUUCUGGAAAACAAGAUAGAUUGCUGAAUUUUGAAUCGUUGCCGUCAGUGAGGACCACAUACUUGGACAGUCUAGGCAGAAGUUAACAAUCACAAACAUCUUAGGCAGUUGACUAAUCUCCUCCCAAGCAUGCUCGAUGAAUAUCUGCCAAAAUGUUUUAGGCAGCGAAUGAGAUUACUUCCCCUGUGAGAGCUCUCAUUGCCUGGUUGCCCUGCUUAGCCUGAGAGCCCCUAAGGGAUGGUUUGACUGGGGGAGAUUAUAAAUAUCUCAGCAGAACAGCCAUAACACUUACAGUGAAAAGAUGGGGGUACAAGGAAGGAUGGAGACAGGAAAUUGGGGAUUUUGCAGGGAAAGGUGUUUUUUCUAUAGGGAAUUUCCUUUCAGCAGGUGCCUGACUGGACCCUGACUCAGCUCCAUCUAGAUCUCUUUUUCCAAUACGCAUGUAAACUUCGCCUUCAGUUUUACCUCUUAGUUCCAAGUACUUUGAGUGCUAUAAAGUUGUUUUCUUACAGUGUCAUAAAAAUUGAUUUCUGGUCAAACCAAAUACUCUGAAAUGCCCAUCCAAAGCCCAUUAAUGGAGAAGCUGAUAUUGUAUCAGUGAAGGCUGGCAAGCAUGGGGAAAAAAGGUUUAUUCUUUCUGCCUACAAGAGCUAUGUAAACAAAAACAAAACAUUCUUUCAGAGGAGAACAUGAAGAACUGGCAAGGAAACAAAAGUGUAAUAGAGAAGAUUUCUAGGCCACCCAGCUGCCUAAUUACUGGCAGCAUCUCUGGAUUUUUACAGCAUGCCUCUCUAACACAGUCCUUUGGAAAACAAAAUGCCAUAUUAUUGCAAAAUACUUAAAAAUAUAAAGCAUUUUGUAUCCUGGAGACUUCAGCUUUUACCUACCGUGGGAUUUUUAAGAGACUUGUACUGCAUGUUGAACUAAA